AGAUUUUGUUAAUAGUUUUAUUUUAUGAAUUUUAUUUUGUUUUCGUCUAAUAUGGUACAAUUUACUUAUUCCUAUUGAAAAUAAAGGGAAAUUAGACAACAAAAUUAUUUACAUAUUCUUUCAAAGAUAAUUAUUAUAAAUUAAAUAUGCUAUACGUAACAUCUUUAUCUCUUCUUAUUUUUUCUUUUACUCAGAUAAAGAUGCGUCGAAGGUCUUUAUCAAAAAAAAAAAAAAAAACCUUCUUCCAAAUCAUUAAGUGAAAAAAACUAUGACACAAAGAAACUGAUGCGGUCUUUGGGGCUGCCUUACAUGAUGUUCUUGUUGUUGUAGUGAUCAUCAACUACUGUUGUUGACUGGAAGUCUAGAACUUAAGAUUGUAUUCUCGGGUUGCUUAGUGUUGUUGUAGUUUUGAAGUCAAGAUUGUAAUGACAAGUGAUGAGUCGGGUUUAAAGAUGCAUUGGUAUGUCUUGAUGUAGUUUACUUGUUCUGUUUUGUUGUUGUAGUGAUCAUCAGCUACUGUUAAGAACUAACAUCAGCUACUGCCUACUCUUUAGUGAUUGAACAUUAUGUAUGGCUCUUAUUCAGAUUUCUUCACACGUAAGUUAUAUUAGUUUCAUAUUAAAAGUUCUAUAUUUUUGUGUUUUUUCUGAAAAUUUAUUAAAUAGUCCACACGAAAGGAGCUUGUAACUACUAGAAUAUUUUUACUUUUUAUUCAGAUGUUCUUCACACCUUAUAUUUCAUUUGCAGCUUGACUUUAGUUUGUUUAGAGAAUAUCAUGCUAAAAAAGAUAUGGAUAUAUCCAAUAUCGAGAGGUUUAGAUUUUGUUGUUUCCAUAUAUAUAUAUAUAUAUACAGCUUAUAUGGUGUUUUUAAUAAUUCAGUAAACUUCUGCAUCGUAGUUCUAAGAACGCAACUCAUCUCCAGAUGGAAAAUGAUGGUCAAAAUCAAGGAGAAGCCCAACCUAUGAAUGUCUUAGGUGUUUUUAAUCCUUCCAAAGUGAAUGGAUCAUUGUGCUUUAAACGUGAUUCCCUAAUCACUAAUGAGAUAAGAACAAUCAUCCGAUCUGAUUUUCCUGGCCCGUAUCGGAAUUGGUCAGCUACACCGCAACAUGUAAAAGAUCCAUGGUGGUACACAUUUAAGGUGCAAGACAUUUCCGAAGAAAUGCAGAUAUCAAAGAAAGGCUGAGCAAACUUGGAGGAUUGGAGAAGAUGAUAGCAAUCUUUUGUCCAGCUAUUCUGUCCACUGGUGUCAACCGUUAAGUUUCAGUUGGCUGCUUUAGUUAUUUUUCUAAGUUUUUAUUAGGUUUUUCUAAGUUCUUAUUAAGUUUAUCUAGCUUUCAAAUUAUCGCUGUUUUUUCUCUAAUAAUGCAUUGUUAAACUUUUUAAUAUAUUUUUUAUUUAAUAAAGUUGGUUAU